rnacentral:rRNA from 1 species
GCGAGAGCACAGGGCAUCGCUCACAGCUUGGAACCUAGCUGCCUUAGGUAGUUCGGAUUGUAAACUGAAAAAGUGUUAUCCAGGCUAGCCGAGUAAAUAAGUUUCUUGGAAUAGAACAUCAUGGAGGGUGAGAAUCCCGUCUUUGGCUUGAGCAUAGUCUUUUGUGUUGCACUUUAACGAGUCAGGUUGUUUGGGAAUGCAGCCUAAAGUGGGAGGUAAAUCCCUCCUAAAGCUAAAUAUUGGCGAGAGACCGAUAGCAAACAAGUACCGUGAGGGAAAGAUGAAAAGAACUUUGAAAAGAGAGUUAAACAGUAUGUGAAAUUGCUAAAAGGGAAGCGUUUGAAGACAGACUAGCUUGGUUAUAAUCAGCCUGGAUUUUUCUUGGUGUACUUGUAGCCUAUGCUUGCCAACAGCAGUUUGGUCUGGCUGAAAAAACUAGUAGUAAGGUGGCUCUCUUCGGGGAGUGUUAUAGACUAUUAGAAAAUCAGUUGGACUGGACUGAGGAAUGCAAUGCAGCUUGCCUUGGGGUGAACCAGAUUGGAUAGGAACCAUUGUU